rnacentral:rRNA from 1 species
UACGUAGGCAGCGAGCGUUGUUCGGAAUUACUGGGCGUAAAGAGUGUGUAGGCGGUGCUCCCAGUCUGUUGUGAAAUCUCCCGGCUUAACUGGGAGGGUGCAGCGGAAACUAGAGUGCUAGAGGGUGGGAGAGGUAAGCGGAAUUCCUGGUGUAGCGGUGAAAUGCGUAGAUAUCUGGAGGAACACCGGUGGCGAAGGCGGCAUCCUGGACCGACACUGACGCUGAGGCGCGAAAGCUAGGGUAGCAAACGGG